CACUGCCAGUCGAGCGACUGAUUAGAAGCUUGCUUCUAUGACGUUAGCGGCGGACGGGUGAGUAACACGUGGGCAACCUGCCUGUAAGACUGGGAUAACUUCGGGAAACCGAAGCUAAUACCGGAUAGGAUCUUCUCCUUCAUGGGAGAUGAUUGAAAGAUGGUUUCGGCUAUCACUUACAGAUGGGCCCGCGGUGCAUUAGCUAGUUGGUGAGGUAACGGCUCACCAAGGCAACGAUGCAUAGCCGACCUGAGAGGGUGAUCGGCCACACUGGGACUGAGACACGGCCCAGACUCCUACGGGAGGCAGCAGUAGGGAAUCUUCCGCAAUGGACGAAAGUCUGACGGAGCAACGCCGCGUGAGUGAUGAAGGCUUUCGGGUCGUAAAACUCUGUUGUUAGGGAAGAACAAGUACGAGAGUAACUGCUCGUACCUUGACGGUACCUAACCAGAAAGCCACGGCUAACUACGUGCCAGCAGCCGCGGUAAUACGUAGGUGGCAAGCGUUAUCCGGAAUUAUUGGGCGUAAAGCGCGCGCAGGCGGUUUCUUAAGUCUGAUGUGAAAGCCCACGGCUCAACCGUGGAGGGUCAUUGGAAACUGGGGAACUUGAGUGCAGAAGAGAAAAGCGGAAUUCCACGUGUAGCGGUGAAAUGCGUAGAGAUGUGGAGGAACACCAGUGGCGAAGGCGGCUUUUUGGUCUGUAACUGACGCUGAGGCGCGAAAGCGUGGGGAGCAAACAGGAUUAGAUACCCUGGUAGUCCACGCCGUAAACGAUGAGUGCUAAGUGUUAGAGGGUUUCCGCCCUUUAGUGCUGCAGCUAACGCAUUAAGCACUCCGCCUGGGGAGUACGGUCGCAAGACUGAAACUCAAAGGAAUUGACGGGGGCCCGCACAAGCGGUGGAGCAUGUGGGUUUAAUUCGAAGCAACGCGAAGAACCUUACCAGGUCUUGACAUCCUCUGACACUCUAGAGAUAGAGCGUUCCCCUUUCGGGGGACAGAGUGACAGGUGGUGCAUGAUGUCGUCAGCUCGUGUCGUGAGAUGGUGGGUAGUCCCGCACCGAGCGCAUCCCUGAUCUAGUUGCAGCAUCAGUUGGGCACUCUAAGUGACUGCCGUGACAUCGAGCAGUGGAUGAGCUCAUCACAUGCCCAUAUGACUGGCUACACCGUUCUACAAUUG
rnacentral:rRNA from 2 species